rnacentral:rRNA from 1 species
ACACGUGAGCAAUCUGCCCCUGACUCUGGGAUAAGCGCUGGAAACGGCGUCUAAUACCGGAUACGAGCUGCGAAGGCAUCUUCAGCAGCUGGAAAGAACUUCGGUCAGGGAUGAGCUCGCGGCCUAUCAGCUAGUUGGUGAGGUAAUGGCUCACCAAGGCGUCGACGGGUAGCCGGCCUGAGAGGGUGACCGGCCACACUGGGACUGAGACACGGCCCAGACUCCUACGGGAGGCAGCAGUGGGGAAUAUUGCACAAUGGGCGAAAGCCUGAUGCAGCAACGCCGCGUGAGGGACGACGGCCUUCGGGUUGUAAACCUCUUUUAGCAGGGAAGAAGCGAAAGUGACGGUACCUGCAGAAAAAGCACCGGCUAACUACGUGCCAGCAGCCGCGGUAAUACGUAGGGUGCAAGCGUUAUCCGGAAUUAUUGGGCGUAAAGAGCUCGUAGGCGGUUUGUCGCGUCUGCUGUGAAAACCCGAGGCUCAACCUCGGGCCUGCAGUGGGUACGGGCAGACUAGAGUGCGGUAGGGGAGAUUGGAAUUCCUGGUGUAGCGGUGGAAUGCGCAGAUAUCAGGAGGAACACCGAUGGCGAAGGCAGAUCUCUGGGCCGUAACUGACGCUGAGGAGCGAAAGGGUGGGGAGCAAACAGGCUUAGAUACCC